ACGAGGCACUACGGUGCUGAAGCAACAAAUGCCCUGCUUCCAGGAAAAGCCUCUAAGCAUCAGGUAACAUCAAAUCGUACCCCAAACCGACACAGGUGGUCAGGUAGAGAAUACCAAGGCGCUUGAGAGAACUCGGGUGAAGGAACUAGGCAAAAUGGUGCCGUAACUUCGGGAGAAGGCACGCUGACACGUAGGUGAAGUGAUUUACUCAUGGAGCUGAAGUCAGUCGAAGAUACCAGCUGGCUGCAACUGUUUAUUAAAAACACAGCACUGUGCAAACACGAAAGUGGACGUAUACGGUGUGACGCCUGCCCGGUGCCGGAAGGUUAAUUGAUGGGGUCAGCGCAAGCGAAGCUCCUGAUCGAAGCCCCGGUAAACGGCGGCCGUAACUAUAACGGUCCUAAGGUAGCGAAAUUCCUUGUCGGGUAAGUUCCGACCUGCACGAAUGGCGUAAUGAUGGCCAGGCUGUCUCCACCCGAGACUCAGUGAAAUUGAACUCGCUGUGAAGAUGCAGUGUACCCGCGGCAAGACGGAAAGACCCCGUGAACCUUUACUAUAGCUUGACACUGAACAUUGAGCCUUGAUGUGUAGGAUAGGUGGGAGGCUUUGAAGUGUGGACGCCAGUCUGCAUGGAGCCGACCUUGAAAUACCACCCUUUAAUGUUUGAUGUUCUAACGUGGACCCGUUACCCGGGUUGCGGACAGUGUCUGGUGGGUAGUUUGACUGGGGCGGUCUCCUCCUAAAGAGUAACGGAGGAGCACGAAGGUUGGCUAAUCCUGGUCGGACAUCAGGAGGUUAGUGCAAUGGCAUAAGCCAGCUUGACUGCGAGCGUGACGGCGCGAGCAGGUGCGAAAGCAGGUCAUAGUGAUCCGGUGGUUCUGAAUGGAAGGGCCAUCGCUCAACGGAUAAAAGGUACUCCGGGGAUAACAGGCUGAUACCGCCCAAGAGUUCAUAUCGACGGCGGUGUUUGGCACCUCGAUGUCGGCUCAUCACAUCCUGGGGCUGAAGUAGGUCCCAAGGGUAUGGCUGUUCGCCAUUUAAAGUGGUACGCGAGCUGGGUUUAGAACGUCGUGAGACAGUUCGGUCCCUAUCUGCCGUGGGCGCUGGAGAACUGAGGGGGGCUGCUCCUAGUACGAGAGGACCGGAGUGGACGCAUCACUGGUGUUCGGGUUGUCAUGCCAAUGGCACUGCCCGGUAGCUAAAUGCGGAAGAGAUAAGUGCUGAAAGCAUCUAAGCACGAAACUUGCCCCGAGAUGAGUUCUCCCUGAGACUUAAAGUCUCCUGAAGGAACGUUGAAGACGACGACGUUGAUAGGCCGGGUGUGUAAGCGCAGCGAUGCGUUGAGCUAACCGGUACUAAUGAACCGUGAGGCUUAACC
rnacentral:rRNA from 2 species